CGGAACUCCCGCUCCGCGCCCUGCCCGGGAGACCCUCGCCCCCCACGCCGCUCCCCUUCCUUGCUUCCUCCCCCCUACUUGUUUCCUCCCUGCCUGGAAGGGCCGCCGUGCCGCCUGUGCGAGCCCCGAGAGCUGCACGCAGCCCUACCCCUCUCCAGGGCUAUGCCCCUGACAGACAACGUCUCCCCGGCAUGCCGGGGGGAGAAGCUGAGGGGGAGGCCUCUCACCGAGAGGGACCCCGCACGCUGACAGCGGCCCCGGAGAGGCCGAGGCAGCCCCCGCCAGCCUGGCAUCCUCACAGCUACGACACGGUUCUGAGCCCCUGUGCACACACAUGCCGCUCCUCGCCCACGCGCUGACUAAGGAUGCUGUGGGAGGAAGGCUUUGGGUGCGACGGCAGGAGAAAAUAAUAGGCAAUGUUGGGGUUUGCUCGCUGUCUCAGUCAGUGUUGGCAGCAGUAGUACUCCAGCAGCGUGCUGCUGUGGGCUGUGGAGGAAAGGCUGGUGCUAGCAAGCCAGUUCCAAGGCGGUGGCAGCUCUCCUCAAAAGAAGAUAUGGAAAAUUAUUUGGAAUGUGUCUCGAACAGGCUCUCCUUCUGCCUCACACAUCUCCGUGUUCUUCAUAAUCUCAGCAUGUGGCUAGUGGAUGAAGCUGCGUCUCUGAAUCUUAAAGACCAAACCUAUUUGGAAUGAGUGCCUCUUGCAGCAGCCACAGCAAAAGGCAUUGACUCGACUCUUCUUUUUUUUGGCUGAAGACAGUUUGUAUUUGAUGUUUCUAUUUCCACAGUGCUUCAGGAGAAUGUGAAGAUGUUGUCUUUGAAAGCCUCACCCCUGUACUGCAACCCUUGUCCAUGUGAACUCUCACAGGCAGAGCGGCUUUGUACUAUGGCCUGUGCUGCCAGUCUUGGGGUGCUCUCAAACUGAGUCAGGAAGCCACUGAGGAAACACACACCCACUGGAACUAAAAGGGCACAUGAGGAUGCUUCAUUUGCCUUGAUACGCAAAUGGACAGUUUUAUGACCCAAAAAAUCUCAUUGAGAAGUACAAAAUGGUCAAUUAAAUGUGGCUACAGCAAAAGAGUGUUAGAAAUGAUGAGCAUUAUCGUAGUUACCUUGCCUUCUGUGAUUUGGAAAUUGCUGACCUCCAUAACCGUGACAAAAGACUCAUUUUCAGCAUUACAGAGAUGUGUUCCCUGAGUACACACUGUUCUUUAAUGCUUGAUGUGGUUUCACUUCAGCUACGACCAAGUACUUCUCAAAUGGCUGGAAUGUAAAAUGAAACAAUUGUUAUUACCUCCUUUCAACAUCUAUCACUUAUUUUUCAUUUAUUAAUGGUAGUGAGCAAAGAUCAUAAAACCACACCACCAGAAAACACAGAUAUCUAUGGAUGAAGACUUCAAAAUAUUCACUUUCUUAUCUUGAAAAAAAUUCAGCUUUGCAUGUUGGCAGAAUUGUUUACUGACAUAAUAGAAUUUAACGAUUAUCCACUUCUAUACUUUUAAAAUACAGUGGCUAUUUUUGAUUUUUAAAUUAUUACAGAUAUAAAUACACAAAAAAUUUAAUGAGGUCUGAUUUCUUUCACUUUUGAGAACUAGGGCUGAGAAAUAUCUUUCAAGCAGCAGACAAUUAUAAUUUAUUAAAAUACUCAAAUAUUAUAUAAACAUUCUGUUUUUUCCUAUGGAGCUUGGGAAUACUGAUAAGUAGAAUAGAAAGUAAAAAAAUACCAAGUCUGAAUUUUCAUUGAAAAAAACCAAAAUGGUUCUGAGAUUUGGAGUUGUGUAAAACAGAUUUUCCAAAAAAAAUUAAUACUUUUUUUGGUUUACAGUAUAGUAGAUAUUCUGACUUGGUGGUAAUGAUUUAAAUGAUUUAGAUCAUAAAGACAAAUGCUUUGAUGCCACUGAUAGAGGUGCAUUAGGAAUACCUCUUUGUAACUCUAUUGGUUCAGUAGCAGUCUCUGAACUAUUGACAUCUUCUUGGCAAGGCCAGUGCUAAUGCAAUAUAUUAUAAAAAACCAAACCUUUUUCUGACUUGUCUGCAUCAAAGUCAAUCUGAGAGAUGCACCUGUUCAGAGCAUAGAAAAAAUGAGGACAUAAAAUGACCUUGAUGUCAUUUUUCAAGUCUUCUUCUGGAAGCAUCCACUUUAUGAACAUUUGCUAGAAAUUCUGUGUUUAAAACUGUCUCUGUGUCCCUACAGGAGAGCCCUUGGAGACAUAUAUCCAUUAGCGUGGCUGUCUACCUUAAAAACAACAUAUUUUUCCUGGAGUCCAGCUAGGACUGAAUUAAGGGGACUGUAGAGACCACUCCACUCUCACCCUCUUAACACUAAUCCAUGACCUACAGAGGACAACAGUCUAAUUUUUGUGCAGAGCCGUUCACAAUCACAGCUCAAACUGCAAUCAGUUCUGAAUGCUUAUAUUAAAUCCUUCUAAACACGUUUCACUUUCAGAGAAUGUGAAAACCAGUUUGGGGUGCGAUAGUCACUUGUGAAAUGUGGUAGCUCUUUAGAGACCAACACGUGAAAUAUUCAACUAGUAACAGAACCAUUAAAAUAAAUGUAAAUGUGUUUCAGCUGAGAGAAAUAUU
rnacentral:lncRNA from 1 species